rnacentral:rRNA from 1 species
GCUAAGUCGGUGGCAGCGACGGCGGGAUAGCGUAGAGGGCGGUCGUGGUACGUGAUCAUUGGGGUUGAGGUGGGUGUAGGCGGCCCGGGAAGUCCGCUGGGAAGGUCCAGGGCUAAACGCUGGGAUGCGUGUGGAUACUGUCGGGCUGGAGUCCGGAAGAGGCGAGUGGAAUUCCUGGUUUAGCGGUGAAAUGCGCAGAUAUCAGGAGGAACACCAAUGGCGAAGGCAGCUCGCUGGGACGUGACUGACGCUGAGACGCGAAAGCGUGGGGAGCAAACAGGAUUAGAUACCCGAGUAGUC